CCUACGGGUGGCAGCAGUGAGGAAUAUUGGUCAAUGGGCGCAAGCCUGAACCAGCCAAGCCGCGUGAAGGAUGACGGCCCUAUGAGUUGUAAACUUCUUUUAUAAAGGAAUAAAGUGAGGUACGUGUGCCUUCUUGAAUGUAUUUUAUGAAUAAGGAUCGGCUAACUCCGUGCCAGCAGCCGCGGUAAUACGGAGGAUCCGAGCGUUAUCCGGAUUUAUUGGGUUUAAAGGGUGCGUAGGUGGGUUUUUAAGUCAGUUGUGAAAGUUUGCGGCUCAACCGUAAAAUUGCAAUUGAUACUGGCAGACUUGAGAACAGAUGAGGUAGGCGGAAUUCAUGGUGUAGCGGUGAAAUGCGUAGAGAUCACGCAGAACACCGAUUGCGAAGGCAGCUUACUAAACUGCCACUGACAUUGAUGCUCGAAAGUGUGGGUAGCAAACAGGAUUAGAUACCCCAGUAGUC
rnacentral:rRNA from 1 species